rnacentral:rRNA from 1 species
UACGUAGGGGGCUAGCGUUGUCCGGAAUCAUUGGGCGUAAAGCGCGUGUAGGCGGUCCGGUAAGUCCGCUGUGAAAGUCGGGGGCUCAACCCUCGGAUGCCGGUGGAUACUGUCGGGCUAGAGUGCGGAAGAGGCGAGUGGAAUUCCUGGUGUAGCGGUGAAAUGCGCAGAUAUCAGGAGGAACACCGAUGGCGAAGGCAGGUCUCUGGGCCACUACUGACGCUGAGAAGCGAAAGCAUGGGGAGCGAACAGG